rnacentral:rRNA from 1 species
AACGACUCCCGGCAACGGAUAUCUCGGCUCUCGCAUCGAUGAAGAACGUAGCGAAAUGCGAUACUUGGUGUGAAUUGCAGAAUCCCGUGAACCAUCGAGUCUUUGAACGCAAGUUGCGCCCGAAGCCAUCAGGUUGAGGGCACGUC